rnacentral:misc_RNA from 1 species
AGCAGCCGCGGUAAUUCCAGCUCCAAUAGCGUAUAUUAAAGUUGUUGCAGUUAAAAAGCUCGUAGUUGAAUUUCGGGAUCAAAGAAUCGGUCAUGCCUUGGUAUGUACUGGUUUUAUUGGUUCUCACCUUCUAAAGAACCAUGAUGUCAUUCAUUUGAUGUUAUGGGGAAUUAGGACUGUUACCUUGAAAAAUUAGAGUGUUUAAAGCAAGCUUACGCUUGAAUACAUUAGCAUGGAAUAAUGAAAUAGGACAUCAGAUUCUAUUUUGUUGGUUUCUAGGAUCGAUGUAAUGAUUAAUAGGGAUAGUUGGGGGCAUUAGUAUUCAAUUGUCAGAGGUGAAAUUCUUGGAUUUAUUGAAGACUAACUACUGCGAAAGCAUUUGCCAAGGAUGUUUUCAUUAAUCAAGAACGAAAGUUAGGGGAUCGAAGACGAUCAGAUACCGUCGUAGUCUUAACCAUAAACUAUGCCGACUAGGGAUCGGAUGAUGUUAAUUUUUUAAUGACUCAUUCC